rnacentral:rRNA from 1 species
GACGAACGCUGGCGGCGUGCUUAACACAUGCAAGUCGAACGGAAAGGCCCUGCUUUUGUGGGGUGCUCGAGUGGCGAACGGGUGAGUAACACGUGAGUAACCUGCCCUUGACUUUGGGAUAACUUCAGGAAACUGGGGCUAAUACCGGAUAGGAGCUCCUGCUGCAUGGUGGGGGUUGGAAAGUUUCGGCGGUUGGGGAUGGACUCGCGGCUUAUCAGCUUGUUGGUGGGGUAGUGGCUUACCAAGGCUUUGACGGGUAGCCGGCCUGAGAGGGUGACCGGCCACAUUGGGACUGAGAUACGGCCCAGACUCCUACGGGAGGCAGCAGUGGGGAAGAUUGCACAAUGGGCGGAAGCCUGAUGCAGCAACGCCGCGUGCGGGAUGACGGCCUUCGGGUUGUAAACCGCUUUCAGCAGGGACGAAGCUUUUUGUGACGGUACCUGCAGAAGAAGCACCGGCUAACUACGUG